rnacentral:rRNA from 1 species
UACGGGGGGGGCAAGCGUUGUUCGGAAUUACUGGGCGUAAAGGGCUCGUAGGUGGCCAACUAAGUCAUACGUGGAAUCCCUCGGCUUAACCGGGGAACUGCGUCUGAUACUGGAUGGCUUGAGGUUGGGAGAGGGAUGCGGAAUUCCAGGUGUAGCGGUGAAAUGCGUAGAUAUCUGGAGGAACACCGGUGGCGAAGGCGGCAUCCUGGACCAAUUCUGACACUGAGGAGCGAAAGCCAGGGGAGCAAACGGG